GGACUUCAAGAUUGUGAUGAUACUGUUAUUGGAAAUUGGCACUUGCGGUAUUGUUUAAAAUGAUUAUUUUGGUUGUGCCUCAGAAUAAAAAAUGUCUAUAAAGCAUUGUAAUACAAAUGUUUGCGGCUCUAAUUGCAUGUUAACAUGUUAUAGCAUAUAUAUAAACAUUAAAUUAUAACUUUAAAUAUAGCUUCCAAGAUCUAGGAUUAGGGUUUGUAUUCUUACAUUUUAAGCAAAACUUUGAUUCCUUCCUUUAUGAUUCUGAUCCAGCUGGCUCUGGGCUGACUUGGG
rnacentral:lncRNA from 1 species